UGGGGAGAACACUGACAUACGUACAGAUGGACAAGGGUAAAACUUAAUGCCCCCAUCCACUAUACCAUAAAAAAAUCAUUAUUCAUUUUUUUAUAUAUCUCGUAGCUAGUGCCCCUUUAAUGAGAUGAAACUAAGGCUCUAAAGAGCCUGUCGCUCACCUUGGUGUAUGUGAAUAUUUAACAAAAGACACAGAUGGAUUCAUGACAAAAUUGUGUUUUGGUGAUGGUGAUGUGUUUGUAGAUCUUACUUUACUGAACAUUCUUGCUGUAUACAAUUAUCUCUAUCUAUAAUGAACUUGGCCCAGUAGUAACAGUGAAAAAUGUUAGUAAAAAUUUACAAAUUUAUUGAAAAUUGUUAAAUAUUUACUAUAAAGGGCAAUAACUCCUUAGGGGGUUAAUUAAACAUUUUGGUCAUGUUGACUUAUUUUUAGAUUUUACUUUGCUAUACAUUAUUGCUGUGUACAGUUUAUCUCUAUCUAUAAUAAUAUUCAAG
rnacentral:lncRNA from 1 species